UUCCUACGGGAGGCAGCAGUGGGGAAUAUUGCACAAUGGGGGAAACCCUGAUGCAGCCAUGCCGCGUGUGUGAAGAAGGCCUUCGGGUUGUAAAGCACUUUCAGUUGUGAGGAAAAGUUAGUAGUUAAUACCUGCUAGCCGUGACGUUAACAACAGAAGAAGCACCGGCUAACUCCGUGCCAGCAGCCGCGGUAAUACGGAGGGUGCGAGCGUUAAUCGGAAUUACUGGGCGUAAAGCGCACGCAGGCGGUUUGUUAAGCUAGAUGUGAAAGCCCCGGGCUCAACCUGGGAUGGUCAUUUAGAACUGGCAGACUAGAGUCUUGGAGAGGGGAGUGGAAUUCCAGGCGUAGCGGUGAAAUGCGUAGAUAUCUGGAGGAACAUCAGUGGCGAAGGCGACUCCCUGGCCAAAGACUGACGCUCAUGUGCGAAAGUGUGGGUAGCGAACAGGAUUAGAUACCCUGGUAGUCCACACCGUAAACGCUGUCUACUAGCUGUGUGUGCCUUUAAGGCGUGCGUAGCGAAGCUAACGCGCUAAGUAGACCGCCUGGGGAGUACGGCCGCAAGGUUAAAACUCAAAUGAAUUGACGG
rnacentral:rRNA from 1 species